ACGAGAGAUUGAAGGUUAGGCGAAUAACAGAGACCAGAAGGUGGUAGUAGAGAAGAGAAGAAGAAGGGGAUGAAAGAUGAAAUUGUUUUGUGAUUUUAACUUUUCCCAAAUGGCUUUCGCCUCGUGUCAAGCAAGGUGAAGAUAAUUGAACCAGCUGGUAACUGAAGUAACUAAACCAAAGAACUAAACCAGACCAUUAACCCAUUUAUGCCCCUUCUUUUUUUUUUUUUUUAAAUCAUACAGUACUAUUUAUUUUGGUUUGCUUUGGUUUGUAUCUUUUUAGUUUUGAUUUACUCGAUUUUAUACAAAAAACCUAACUACAGUUAUACUUUUUAAUAUUUUGUACAUUUUAGUUUAUAUGAUUACGAAUCAAAUCAACACAAUAAUACAGCAAGGUUCUCUCCAGCACUUGACACAUCAGUUGUUUAGAGUCAUAUGAAAAUGACAUGUCAUUAAAUGAAAAAACUUGAAAAACCAAUAGAAACAUUUUAUUUCUCCACAUCCUUCAUCCAAGACUCCAAAUCAUUCUAUAUCUUUUCUUCUUCAACGACGACGAUUCCAAAAGACGAAACAUCUUCUUCGAAAACUCCAAGGCUUCGACGGCGAAUUCAGAGACCAUCACAGAAACCAUCUGCAUCUCAAGGUGCUCCACUCGGAGGAAUGAGGCUAUCAAAGCAGAUUACCCUCUUGGAUCUAUUGCUACUGGUUAUUGCAGAAGUGGAAGCAUCGGGGGAGAGUUUAGAUACUUACGCAUUGAGAAUCGAUUGAGAAGUUUGUAGGAAUUAGUUUUUCCCUGUAACUAUAUAAACACUUGGAAGGGGAUGUUUGGUUCUACAGUGGAUACCAGCCGGAAACAGCACUGCCUCAGGGAAGCAUCUUCUUACUCUGACUCUCUUCGUGUGGCCUUACGAAGGUGGAAGGGUCUUCUUGUGCGGGAUAUUUCAACAGGUGGACAGAACAUGUGCCAGUGUCACCACUUGAGACCUUCCCUACUGUUUUUCAAGUCUGGAACUUGACUUCGGAAUAUUUUCACACGAAAGUGAGAAGUAUCUUGAAUUUUCUGUGAAAUUGUGUUCUAAUAUCACUUAUGCAGCUCUUAGCUUCAGAUUUUGAAGCUCAUGUGCUUAUUCCGUAGGAGGAGAUGCUGGUUGCUUUGUUUUGCUUCUUUUCCUUAAAUUCUCACCUUGAGAAUUGGGGAUUUGCUUGUAACGAUUCACCAAUUCAACCACCGGCAUCUCAGACCAUUCAAUUUAUGCAGGACAAUCUUUUGGAACAGGUGGAAUUCAAAGGUUAGAUAAAGCCUAGCUUUACAUCUCUGGUGGUUUGAGCCGAAACCUCCUUAUGGCUAGCUCAAUUUCUUAAGUUUUAUUACUUUCUUUGUCUUUUACAUACGAACUGCGUAUUGGAAGUUUUUGCUUGUAGUAAUCCUCCAGUUCAACGAGCACAACCUUCUUCGGAUUUUCAAAAUUCUCCACCUUUUGAGGGCAACCUUACCAACCAUGUGGGGUAAAAAGCUUCCCCGAGACAACGCUUAUCGGCCUGGUGGAACUCAGAGUCAGAAGUUAGAAAGAUUUAGUUUUACGUCUUUCUUUUCUUUUGCCCCUCAUAUGUGUGUACAUGAUUUUUGGGAAAGGAGACCAAGACUUGUCAAUGGAGCACCAUGGGGUUCAUAAGAUUUUCCACGUCCAGGCUCCACUGUGAGACCUUGCCAAUUUUAUGGCAGCAGUGUUAAUCACAGAGUUUAAACGCUUUCAGUUCUCUGCAAUAGUAUAUAUUGCAGUAGUAAGAAAAGAGUAGGGUUUGGCGGAGUGAUAUCGGUUUCUAUGCCCAUCUUGAAGCCUAAUAUAUAAGGGCUUACUGUGACAGUGGCUUUGAAACUCCAACGAAAUCACUGUCACUGGAUUUGGCUUAUAGGCUUUAGCAACAAGCUGUUGAAUUGUUCUUAGGAAAUUCCCUGGAUUUCACCUCCUUCGUUUUUCCUUGCUGGCCUACUUAAAUCCGUAGUUUGGAAUAAAGUUGCCCGGUUUGGAUUCAUUUUUAUUACUGGAAGAAUCUUUCCAAAAGGUGUGAAGAACCUAUUCAUAUCGAUGCUUGGAUCCCUGCUGAUGAAAUCAUUCUACUCAGUAGAGCUUCUGGAGGUUGUAAGACAGAGUGAGAAUCUGAUGCUUUUUUGCCAUUAAGCACAUGCUGAAAAGGGAAUGGACCGUAGCAAAAAAAA